GUUCUGACUUCCUGUGACAGGAUGGAGACAGAUUAUCACUUCCUGUGACAGGAUGGAGACAGAUUAUCACUUCCUGUGACUGGAUGGGGACAGAUUCUCACUUCCUGUGACAGGAUGGGGACAGGUUCUCACUUCCUGUGACAGGAUGGGGACAGGUUCUCACUUCCUGUGACAGGAUGGGGACAGGUUCUCACUUCCUGUGACAGGAUGGGGACAGGUUCUCACUUCCUGUGACAGGAUGGGGACAGGUUCUCACUUCCUGUGACAGGAUGGGGACAGGUUCUCACUUCCUGUGACAGGAUGGGGACAGGUUCUCACUUCCUGUGACAGGAUGGGGACAGGUUCUCACUUCCUGUGACAGGAUGGGGACAGGUUCUCACUUCCUGUGACAGGAUGGGGACAGGUUCUCACUUCCUGUGACAGGAUGGGGACAGGUUCUCACUUCCUGUGACAGGAUGGGGACAGAUUCUCCCUUCCUGUGACAGGAUGGGGACAGGUUAAAGCUUCCUGUGACAAGAUGGGGACAGAUUCUCACUUCCUGUGACAGGAUGGGGACAGGUUAAAGCUUCCUAUGACAGGAUGGGGACAGAUUCUCACUUCCUGUGACAGGAUGGGGACAGAUUCUCAAUUCCUGUGACAGGAUGGGAACAGGUUCUGACUUCCUGUGACUGGAUGGAGACAGAUUCUCACUUCCUGUGACAGGAUGGGGACAGAUUCUCACUUCCUGUGACAGGAUGGAGACAGAUUCUCACUUCCUGUGACACAAUGGGGACAGAUUCUCACUUCCUAUGACAGGAUGGGGACAGGUAAAAGCUUCCUGUGACAGGAUGGGGACAGGUUCUCAUUUCCUGUGACUGGAUGAAGACAGGUUAAAGCUUCCCGUGACAAGAUGGGGACAGGUUAAAGCUUCCUGUGACUGGAUGGAGACAGGUUAAAGCUUCCUGUGACAGGAUGGGGACAGGUAAAAGCUUCCUGUGACAGGAUGGGAACAGGUUCUGACUUUCUGUGACAAGAUGGGGACCGGUUCUGACUUCCUGUGACAGGAUGGGGACAGGUUAAAGCUUCC